GCAAGUCGAACGAAGAUAUGGCUUCGGCCAUAGACUGAGUGGCGCACGGGUGAGUAACGCGUAGGAAUUUACCUUUCGGUGGGGGACAACUGAUGGAAACGUCAGCUAAUACCGCAUACGCUCUACGGAGGAAAGAUUUAUUGCCGAAAGAUAAGCCUGCGUUAGAUUAGGUAGUUGGUGAGGUAAAAGCUCACCAAGGCGACGAUCCCUAGCUGGUUUGAGAGGAUGAUC
rnacentral:rRNA from 1 species